rnacentral:rRNA from 1 species
AACGAACGCUGGCGGCAUGCUUAACACAUGCAAGUCGAACGAGACCUUCGGGUCUAGUGGCGCACGGGUGCGUAACGCGUGGGAAUCUACCCUUUGCUACGGAAUAACUCAGAGAAAUUUGUGCUAAUACCGUAUAAUGUCGCAAGACCAAAGAUUUAUCGGCAGAGGACGAGCCCGCGUAAGAUUAGCUAGUUGGUGGGGUAAAGGCUCACCAAGGCGACGAUCUUUAGCUGGUCUGAGAGGAUGAUCAGCCACACUGGGACUGAGACACGACCCAGACUCCUACGGGAGGCAGCAGUGGGGAAUAUUGGACAAUGGGCGAAAGCCUGAUCCAGCAAUGCCGCGUGAGUGAUGAAGUCCUUAGGGUUGUAAAGCUCUUUUACCAGGGAUGAUAAUGACAGUACCUGGAGAAUAAGCUCCGGCUAACUCCGUGCCAGCCGCCGCAGUAA